GGGAGCCGUGCGGGUCGCCGUAGGGGUGAAGCGGGCGGCUGGGAUUGCCCGUUCGUGCACGAUGUGCCCCCCGUCGGGCAGCAGGGCUCGAGGGCGAAGCCUCGUGAGGUGACAACAGCCAUCCUGCAGGAACCCUCUGCCCCAGGGACCUGCCCGCUGUUUGCUAAGCACAGCGUGUCCUUAACGGCACCCUCUGUCCACACUGUUCCCCCGGUCAGAUCCCUGAAAUAGCAGCAGAGUUCCUCAGUCCAUCUGGUACCCAAACCCCGAUGCCUCCAAGGGAUGGAGCCCAGCUCAGCUACCUCCACCUCCUCUGUCGACCAUACGCCCCAACCCAGAUCCCUCCACAUCACAGCCCUUCUGCCCAUCCAGAACCUUCACUCCCAUCCUUAAGUAGAAGCAAGGCCAUGUUCCUACCGUGUACCCACCGCAGACCCCGCAGGCAGAAGCACAGACCCUCUGUCCAUCCAGCACUCCCACCCAGAUUCCUUCAAGCAGUGAAGCAGCUCCUCUGUCCAUGCAUAACCCUCAUGCAGAUCCCCGAAGGGGUGAUACAGAUCCUCUGUACACCCUGUACUCACACUCACACCCUUCAACUGUCAGCUGUCCCCCUGUCCCGUGUCCCUGAAGCAGAGGCACAGCUUCUCUGUCCCCUCAGAACCCACAUCCAGAUCCCUGAGGUAGCAGCACAGCCCCUCUGUCCACCAUGAACCCACAAAGAUCCCUUCUAUAGUAACACAGCUCCACCCAGCAUCCCCACUCAGAUCCCCCAGGUAGCAGCAUGGACCACUGUCCAUCAUGUAACCCUCAAAUAGCACUACAGCCUUUCUGUCCCUCCUGUACCCCCACUUAGAUCCCUUAAGUAGCAGCACAGAUGGCCUUUAAAGGUCUCUUCAAUUAAUCAUUCUCCAGCCAGAGGAAAACAGAUGCAAAACGAGACACAACACAGCAGAAACCACACUGUAUCCAAAUUCCACACUGCAAGGUUUGGGCAACGUGUCCCAGGGAUCAUACAGCCUCAUGUUAAGCAGUGCUGCCAGGGAUGAGAAGUCAGAAGCAAAGAUCUGAGUUUUCAGGAUGCUCUAAUGCAGAUCUAAAAGAGAGCUUUCGGCACCAAAAUCUGCAUUCCUAACCCAGUUUUACCCCAACAUUUUCCUCUUCUUGGGAAGAUGACUCUAACGACACUAAUUUCUAGGUUUCCUACAUUCAACAUCAAAGACACCAAUCUCAUCCUUCUUGAGGAAGUUCUUCCCUGCUCUGUGUUACACAUGAUAGUCCAUACCACCAAGCAUAUACCCCUCAAAAAGCCAGAGUCUGAACAGGUCCUCCUUUAAAUCAACUGCCUCCAGCCCUGAAACUGACUUUUUCCAUACCUGGACACCUCCCACCUCUCUGGUUUGGUGUAACAGAAGCUGCAUGCUGAUUCACAGCGCCGCAGGGAGAUGCGUGCUGGGUUACCUUUGUUUGCCCUUGCUCUGAAAUGCCUCCUGCAGAGAGCAAGCUUCCUGUCCCUUUUGCAGGUGUCUCCCUGGGGAAAAGGGAUGAUGUCUGCUCUCUGAUCCUGCUGUUUUCUCUCUGGGUAAAAAACUUAACUUCUGUGCUCCUACAGAAAUGCUUCUGCCACUGCUUUCCUGGCUCCCUCGUCAGCCACCAGAAUCCCAUUUGCUUGCUGAGCACCACAGGGCAGGAACUAUUUCCAGAUUUAAGGUAUCCCCCUUCAAAAGGUGGCUUUGUUAGUCAGCCUGCUGAAACUACCUGGCUGGCUGAUGUCAGGAGCUGCUCUGAGCUCUCUCCUGAUGCCCAGCCCUUCCCAGCACUCCAGUUUUACAGCCUUUCCCUCCCUGGCUGACUGCAAGUUCUCCAAUCUGAUUUAAUACUCCACUAAAGCAGCACAGGUACAAAGCAGCUACUCUGAGCUGACUACUGCUCUUUGUUUCUGCAAAUUCAUCCUCCUCUUCUGCAUAUCAAUUAAUAUCCUCCAGGCAGGUGCCAAGAGAAUGCUGUGCUCUGGGAUGUGGCUAAUGAGGGCAGUCUCACUCUUUGAGACCUAAGGUGUCUCUUGCAAAGAUCCACAGCUCUUGGUUUCACGCAGAGCUGCAAAUGUUCUUCCUGUCAUUCAAGCCACUGACGUUUUGCAAACUAAUUCAUUAGCCCAGUUGGCUCUUUGAAAAAAGGAGAUACAAUCAUUGCUGGGAAAACAAGAAAGCAAUCCAUGUGCUGAAUAUAAAAUAUUACGUAGCUGGAAGGCAGUCAGUUCAGAGCCCUGAAUGAUUGGAUUCCCUUUUCUUUGCUGCCGAAGCACAGCGAUUUACUUAGUGGCUGUGUUGCAAUAAUGGCUAAGUUGCCACAGUAAGAUGAAGGCCUGCUCCUUCUGACCACUGUACAGACCCAAAACAUCAAAGCACCAUUCUCAAUAAGCAUAUGCCAUGUGCUUUUGCACUAGCAGAUGCGCCACGUGUCUCUCUGGUCUGACUGAAGGAUGCUGAACUCAGCAAGUCCAUCUCCACUAUUAAGAAAGAUGUAAUUAAAGCAGAAAGAUCAAGCAAAUUACUCACUUGCAAUGGUAGCAGUCAGCAACAAACAAAGCCUCCAUUUCUGCCCACUUAUAGCAGUUCAUUCAAUAAAGGCUGUCACCUCUUCCACCUAGCCUCCUCUUUUUGUAUCUGUAUGGCCACAACAGCAGCAUGAGAGCAGAAAGUUGAGGUUUAAAAUACCUUUAGGAAGAAGGAGAUUACUUACUUUAGGUACAACCGAAACUUUGAGAAACAAGUCUGUCUUUGUUAUAAUUGUACACGAGUUCCAAGAGCUAAACCACAGCGAGCUCUACCCCCAGGAGCGUCCCAGAGGAGACAGGGAUUAGCUGCUGGAGCAGCAAAUACCAUCUGACCAAACAGAAUACUUUCAUAUCAGCUCCCAGCCCUGGAAAUGCCAUGCAGGGAAAAGAGGAAAAGGUAGCUGCUUACACAAGGAGUGAAGGCAGGCUGCCUGCAGGGGAAACGUCGUCUGGUGGAGGCAGUUCCCAGUAAUUCUAGCUCCACAAAGCAGCACCAUCCAUCCACAUAGCCACACCAGCAAAGGGCUAGAUUCGGAGUCAGUGACAAAGGGUAUUCCUUGCUGCAGUGUCUCAAGGAUCCUGUUCGCAGUGUGACUCUCAAAUUGAAAUCUCACCAACAGUACCCUCCCACCCAGAUUCCUGCCAGACAACCCUGAAACCACCCCACGUAUGUCUGCAGCUAAAACUUCCAAUCCGGUCUGGCAACUUAGACAGCGAUACAAAAGAUUGGGAGAGAGAUAAAACUCACAGGGUGUCCUGUUACUUUGCAUUCCAAUGGGUAAAUAAAAGGCUGAUUCAGUGGGAGGAGAGGAAAACGUCAUCCAGAAGCACUGUGGUUUCCAGCUGAACCGGCAGCCCCUGGCUCCAGCAAAGGAGUGUGAUCUCCUGGUGAACAUUGGGUACUGUACAACCGAUUUCCACAAAGGACAGCUCUUCCUGUAAGUUGUCUCACCAUGAUUCAGUCUCUCCAUCUGUAAUGCAAGGAGAGUAAUUACUGACUUUGGAGAAUGGGACCUGUAAGAGCGCAGCAAGUUGCCCUCAGUUGGCCACAUGAUGCCACGAAGGCCAAGCUGAGAUGCAGAACUACUUUUCAGACAGCUUUUCAGGGACUUCUGUUUAAUCCGGAUGGGAACAUACCCUUUGGUCUCUAAUGCUUCUUUCAGAAGCUGCAAACUGAGAGUCCUGCUUCCAAAACAUAACUUUGGCAGAGAUCAGAAGUAGCUUUGCCCCUCAUAUCAGUAAUACCAGUCACUUCCACCUGCUUUAGCACUUAGCCAGAAAAGGCUCAUUACAGAGCCUUCCUGAGUUCAUGAUAGCUGGCACAAGAGACCAGCUCCAUCCUGUGGAAGGUACAGGCAUGAGCAGCAAGCAUAGUAUGUGACAGGAUGCAACCAGCAUGCAGUAGGAAAGCCCACCCGCAGCUCUCCAGCACACCACAGACAAUUCUGAGACAUACUUUCAAAAUUAAGGAGGGUCAUUUCUUGUUUACCAGCCACCUGACAGCUGUGGGACAUAGCAUGCAAAUGGCUAAGAAACACACCAUAGGAUGUAAGCUUGCUGCCAGGACUCUACAAUUUGCUAGGCCUUUCUUGAGGACUUCCAUGGCUUGAGAAAGCAGAACCUCUUUUGGUGAGCUCUGAAUCAGUAACAGCAGUGUUUGCCAAGCUGUAAGUGUAAUAGAGUGGAUGGGCUUGAAUGCCAGGUUUCUGCCACUGUGCAUUUUGAAAUGCAGCUGUGUGCUUGGGCACACCCAAGAUUCAAAGUCAGUUAAGGUCCUGUCUGCCUGACAAUCUGCAAAUGAGUAAGAACCGAGAGAGAUGCCGACAAUGCAUUGGAAUCACCUAUCCCUCUUUGCUUUACUACAAACAAGUAUGCCUAACCCGUGCUCACCUGCCUUGCCUCCUUACUUCCUACGGAAAACAAAAGAUCAGACUUGGUGUGGAAUUACCUCCACUGUUUAUAAUGAAAAGAAAAAAAAAAAAAGGCACAACUUUGAUUUUUCUUUGAUUCCUCUCAUUUCCCACCCUUUGCUGAUAAGAGAUGUGCCAUACAGCAGGGCUUUUAUUUUGCAAGUCCUGCUCCUGCUUUCAAACAUACCGACUGAUGUUCUUUCAGUCAUCCCUCUAGUGGGGUAUGGUGAGACUGCAUGUAAUAUCAACAAGCCCACCCCUGAAGCAGGAAAUCAAGCAUGAACUCACCCAGAGUUCAGUCUGCCAAAGGUGAGAAGUAAUACAUACUCUCCCAAGAUGCUGCUUGUACUCUCCAGGAUGAGGCAUCAUGCUGGAUGAAACACCUUGCUGGUUAGAUCAGGCUUGCAGACCUGUUCUAAUCCAUUCUCCACUUCAAAAGAUGACUAUGCACAUUUGUCUCUCUCCAUUCCUCCCAGGACAAUCUGUUCUAGCAGUAAGGUGACCUUCCUUUCUACUUAGUGAAGCAGGAGCAGAACCACAACAAGGAUAUCGAUGUGGGAAUACUGGGAAGAACACGUUCCUUUCCAAAAACAGAAGCUAAUCCUUUAAUUUAGGGACCAGCAGCCUUUGGCAUGGAAGAACAAGAAAGCUGCAGUAGGAAGCAGCUCUCCAAGCUCAGCAGGAACUGGAAAUGAGAUGGGGUCUUGGAAACCCACUGAGCAGCAGCAGCAGCUCUCCUCUAACACACACAAACCAUUUCUACACUAUAGAAGAUAAAAAACAUCUUGUUAUAAGAGGUAAGGACAGCGAAGGAAGUGCCUCUGUACCUUAUCCUGCUGCUUUCACAUCACAUGAUAAAUCUCCUGGGUGGCAUCUUUAUUGUCACUUGUCUGAGCCCCAGCAUAAGGCAGCUCUGCAGGAUCCACAGGGAAGACCUGACUGCAAAAGUGUUGUGCAGAUCUUGCUGUAAAGGAAAACACAUAGUGCUGAGAGUGCCUAGCAUUUGCAGCAGCAUUCACAAUAGGAGGCAGCAGUGCCAAGUACAGUGGUGGAAACAGCAGAUUCAUAAACACAAGAGCUGAAAUAUGACUUUCCUACAAGCAGACUGGGUCUCUUUGGUUUCUCUGUUGGGCACUGGUUACUUCUGGUAUUUGCUUCAGGCUUUCUGGACUUGUGCUCUCCGAACAAAGUAGUAUCCUUAGCUACUUUUCCAUGAAAAACUAUACUGACAAAUAGAGAAUCAGUAGGAUUAUGGUGCCAUGAUACAGCAUACCUUUAAAUGCAAUUGCACAGGAGAAGCAUACCCUUUGUACCUGUAGCAAGAACACAGGAAAAUCUCAGAGAAAAACCUACAAAGAAGCAAGCAGCACUUGUCAUCAGCAGUUGAUUCAUGUAGUAACAAACAAGGAUAUACUGUGGUACAAAGAACAUCACCUAUAACUUUCUCCUGGUCUGGCUCUGGAGUGGGCACAAAACCUCCAGAUAGAGGCACCUCAUCCAGAACGUUCUAUUGAACAAGAGGGCUUCCAACUUGGCUGGGCUGAAGUUGUAGUUUGUCCCCUUCUAUAAUGACUGGGACUUUUUACUACGUUUUUGCUUUCAAAAGUAGGCAUUCCCACUGGAAGUUCUGACAUCCAGAGCCCUGCCAGCUUGUUUCUGAAAAGCUACAAUACCUCCCCAAUGGCUUUUGGAAGUUAACUGAGACUGUACUGAGUACCUGUAGCACAACUAGCACUUGGCUACCAAAGAACCACUUAUCUCAGCAUUUCCACCUAGGUCAUGCAGCCAAAAGGGUGACCACACCUGACUUAGGGAAUAAUGCACCUAUUGUGUAAGAGCAGAAGUAAUCCUCACCCACAGUUCUGUCUUGUUCUGUGCAUGACUUGGACUGCCAAAUUUGAGAUACCAACUCAUUUGUGUUUCUGUGAGACAGACCACUGGUUGGCACUGAGCUCUGUCCUACACAAGUCAGAAGAGUUCAGACUGCCCCUGCAGGGAGCCUGGUGCAGGCAGGGAACGCAGUGGAAAGCUGCAGCUGUUUGCUAUCAGCCUGAACCACACAGCACGAAGGAGAGAAGGAACUUUACUGUGGUGAACUGCUGACUGACAGGACUGGGGGUGAGGAUGCUCCUAGCAUGGAGGUGGCUCUGUGCAUCUCUGGUCAAGAUUUUGGGCUGUGUACUUUAUUCCUGUGGGACUCUGCUUGCAUCACUACAGUAAGGAAAACAGCUGGGUGAAGCUGAUGAACAUUGCUCCUUGCUGCCUGUAUUUACAGUUCUCUCCAUGGGCCCUGCUCUAGCAGGAGACAUGGAGGUUGCAGAAGCUAUUCAACAGUGUAUGCAGUGUUUCCAUCUGUCUCAUAAAUGCCAAAUAACUGCUGCUUCCCCAUGGACAAACAUCUUCCCGUUGCUGACAAUUCAUCCAGAAUGAUACAUCAAAGCAUUAAAGACACUUACCCAGUUUCAAACAAUGCCAGCAUCUUUUCAGGUGCUUGCUUCCAGGUCCUCGUUGGCUCUGUACACAUCAUCAGCACAGCAGUAUGACCAUCAGCAGGUCUGCCCCGUCCUGCAUUGGUGAUACCUCGUGCUGUAAGUGUGGAUGCAAAAGCAUCUGGUCCUGGGGCUAUUAGAGACCAGCACAGUUCUCCAUCAAAGAUCUUGGUUCUUGAAGGUGAGUUACUUUGCCCCACGUCUUACAAACUGGAGGACGGUGAGAGAAGGUAACUAAGCCCACUACAAGCUGGUCCCAUCCCCUCCCCCAUUAUGUACAAUACUAAAAUUGUUAAAAUAAAGGUUAGUGUGUUUAAACGGCCCGAGGCAGUUUGUGUAGGACUCAAUCCUUACAAACAACGAUUACAUGAUAUUCUCUCAGUGAAAAUAAAUACGUAUCCCACAGCUUUGAAGAAACAAUAAAGGCUCUUAAAUAACACUAGCGAGGAACUCACUGUGAUGAAAACAGGCUGUAGUUCCAUUUUUUUAAUUACAAAAGAUAAUGGUUGGGAUGCAUCAGAACGAAAGUCCUUUCAGUUUCAGGGCCUGCAGGACAAACAGCUGGAAAACAGAUACUGUCAGCACACUGCCUUCUCAUGGCCUUUUAUUUGUGCUCCCGUGCACAGCUCUGCAGUACUCACCUGGAAGAGUAUUUAGUCCCCAGUGCAAGUGGACAAAGGAGCAAACACGUGGAAAACAGCCUUGUUAAAACAUACCCUCAUCCAGCCCUAGCAUAUAUAAAGAAAAACUAACUUGAACCCCUCUCUGCCCUUAAGCUUAUUGCUAAGAGAUUAUACGUUACUUAUAAAACCAACUGCUCUUUACUUGCAGUAGCUGAAGGGUUAUUUUUCAACCAGAGUGGAAGCUGAACCAUGGAACAGGGUGUACUUUGCUCUUGAAAUUGGUGUACUAUUCCAUUCAGAAUGUAGCUCUUUAACGUAAGAAACCCACACAGUGACUGGUGCCCUUUCCCCAAAGAUCACAGGCUUUAAAAGCAACAAGAAUGGUCUUCAGUCAAGCAGUCAUGCACGUCAAGGUAGCUCAUGUGGACAAGCAGUUUAGCAAAGACAGUUAUGGAAGAAAGGAGAUGGUGAUGAUCUGAAGAGUCAGACUCCUGAAAGCCAGCAGCAACAACCUCAGAGACACACCGAACUCAUGCAAUUAGAUGCAUGGGUUUUUAGUUUUGUUAAACCUAAUACUGUCAAUGCCUUAUGUCCAGAGACAAAUUCAAAUGGUUGCUUGCAAGAGGAUUCACAGAAAUUAAAGGUGCUUCGCACUGUAAUCAUCCUUCAGCACUUGAUUGCAAGUUUUGACACUGAAGAACAUUACAAACAGAACUAACAGAACACAAUCAUCUUGAUUAUGCUUUGAAUUUAGAGGCUCUUUCAUGUAAGCAAUAGAAGAAAGUUGUCAUCUCUUCCACUUCUCAUUUUUAACUUCGCAACUAAAAGGAUGUGUAAAAGGACUUAAGAACAUCUUCAUACACCUCCCAGACCACAGCCCUCUGGCUGUCCACCUGUUUGGCAGACUCAAUACAAGAGGUACACAAAUUGACAAAGUAGGAAAGGUACUGAGAAAACUGUUAUCACUCCCAGUUCUGUUCCUGUGGCAUAUUCAAGAGCUUGCUUUGUGUGUUGUUGUGUCCUGCUUAUUCAAUACUUGCAGCUAGCCAGUUUUUUUUAUUUAAACACCCAUUUCCUCCAACUCACACAGCAGGUUAGCUGCUGUACAGAAAGACUGACAUACCCGACCUGAAGCUCAGCAGAACAGUUUGCUCUGCUCACGUGCAGCCAGUUUGAACAGUAACACACAGCUUCAGUUGAGGCUUCUGCCAUGAAGUUCUACUAACACAGGAAAGAUAAGACUUGGUUCUGUAAAUACGUUAUAUUCAAUAGUAUGUAACUCAGAGCAAUGCACUUUUAAAAAAAGACAAGAGAAACCACGUUAGAAGGAACCAUCUCACAAAGGAAGAUGGACAAUCUAUUAGCCCUUGGCAAGCUAAACAAUCAUGUACACAAAACAACAAGCUGUACAAAACUGAAAGGAGAUGGCAAAGGGAUUUGUAAGGCUUUCUUCUCCUAGCUCAACACUCCUUAUGAUCUUAUUCUGGAAAAGCUUCAGGGUCACAUCAGGACAGCAAGGAACUCUUCUCCAGUGUGUGCAAAACUCAAAUUUAUAAAGGGAUAAAAUUCUAAAGAUAAAAA